rnacentral:lncRNA from 1 species
UGGAACUGAGCUUGCUCAUUAUGAGUUAUGGAUGUUUUAGUGAUAAAAUUUGGCUUCCUGGAACAAAUGGGUGUUCCAACCUGAUUUUAUUAGUGCGGCUGAACAUUGCGGGACUAAAGCAAGGAAAUUCCUGCAUAUUGCCACAAUCUGACGCAGUAUGGAUCAUAAACUUUUCUAUUUGUAUUUUACUGGUGGACAUGAACGGCGCGAUCCCAUCAGGAAAAGGAGAAGGGACCCACAGCUGACACGUGGGGACGGUACAUCUUGCUACGGAAUGUCACAUAAAGGUGAAGCCUUUAAACAAGAGGCCCCUUGAUUUAGUGUCUUUAAUGUUCCCCGGGAAGGGAUGUGCUCUGCACAUCAUUAGUGUGACAGGGUGAAGGGCCAACUCGUUUCUUCUGUUCCCGUGGAAAGAGGAUGAAUCUGGCACAGCUCUGAUGUCAGAACCUCCAUCACCUUUCUCGCAGAUGAUGUAGAUUUUAAUUGUACUCCGGGCCGCCACGCGUCGCACCAGCUCCUACGUGACAUUGAGAUAGAUGAAGCCAUUUGUUGGCAUUAUCCGAGCCAGCUGUGUGCUUGGCUGCAGCUACAGUAGGCAUUUUUAUCUCAUGCAUAAUCCUCUCAUUGAGAAGGGAUCACAAGCGUCGGAACCAUAUGGCAAAUAAUUUUAUUAUGAUCAAAAAAGGACUCUUGAAACUAGUUAAACAGAAGAGUCCUUGAAAUUCAAUCAGAAGAACUUUGAUUUUUCAUGUCACGCCAUCAUCCUAAAUUAAUUGUUAGUGCUGCCACAAGCAAACAGAACCAAGAUUCCCACCCCUUGCAAAAGGACGAUGGGCUUUCUCAUUAUUUUCUGCUACUCAGCUCUUGUUUCUGUUUUCUCAAUUAACGGGAAUUUGCCUGGAUCAAUAUCAGAAGAGAGAAAAAAAAACAAAACAAAACAGGAUUUCAAAACCUAAAGCUGGUUUCUAAUUAAAAAGGGUAAUUUUAAACAAUGUUCCAAAUAGCAUAACAACACGGAAGAUGAGGCAAGCUUCAGUGAAGAUCCUAAUUGCUACUCUUAAAAGCAGCAAAAGACAAGCCGUAUCUUUUUCCUCUAAGGGAGGAGAGUCUGUUUUCUGUUGUGUUUUGUUUGUUUUUGAUACGGGGUCUCCUGUGGUCACGCUAGCCUCAAGCUCUGCAUGGAGCUGAGAAUGAUCUUAAACUUCUGAUCUUCCUUAAUCCACCUCUCAUCUGCUAGGAUUCCAGGCAAUCACCUCCAUACCCAGCGCAAGAUAGCAAAGAGUUUGUCCUUUUGCCACGGAAGCUGUACUUUUAGCCCAUUUUUGUCAACAGGAAGAACCAAGUGCAGCUUUUCCACACCAAGGCGUUUCCUUCGCAUCCCGAGGAGUUGCCUGGAUCAAGGCUUCCAUAUAAGCAUAAGAAUCAGCUGCCAGGAAACAGAGGAUUCCAGUUGCGGGGCGGGGGCUUUGGAGGCUGCUGGGAGCUCCUGAGUGGCUGCUUCCUACCCACAUUGCUUCUCCAUUAAUUGGUUUUUAUUAAUCACAAGGGAUUUCAAACUUCCAGUUCAAAUUUUACAUGGCCACAAAAGGGUGAUUUGCCCAGUCUCUCCUUGUCUGUAAUGCGUAUACUCUCUUCUUUUAUUAUCCUGUUUCUUUCCAGAGGAAAGAAUAUGGGAUCUGAGCCUUAUGGUACCUGCUAGUGAUGGGGAGGAAUUAUUAGCAAAGUCCAUGCCAUAGGGCAAGAGUACAUGCUAUCACAGAAUCCAAAUAUUGCGGCUACUAUACCUUGAGACUAGACUUUUAUUUGGUAUUUUAUUGACAAAUAAUAAAGCUAAUAAUUGUACUGGAAGAGGCAUAUAACUACUCAAUCUACAGAAAGUUUAAUUUCCAGCACUAAAUGCCCAAAGCACUUUUCUUUUUUUUUCUUAUUACAGUCUCUUAUGGCCCGAGUCAAGUAGCUGGCUGGGAUGCUAAAAAUGAUUUAAAGUAUGUGUGUUUUGGUUUGGUUUUGUUUGUUAUUUAAGAGCAUGUUUGAAAAAUAUGCUUGGCAUAAAAUACUCCAAUGAUUCAUUCUAUAAACAACUACAAAAUCUCAGUGUGGACUCUUGAUGGUGAAGCCACACUGCCUGUGUUUAGGAGGUCCAAGGUCUGUGAAACAGAGCUGUGCACACCAGGGCAAACGCUCAGUAGAAAACCAUGCCAUCUCCAAGCAGGUUCAGGGAGAGGACAGAUAAGCAUCACUCGUCAUUCUGGUGACAGCGUCGGGUCAGUAAGUCAGCAAGUGGUCCCCACACUGACCACACUGGGUCCUCCUGCCGGUCUGUUACCGAGUAGUUGUUGGUGUGAAUAUGACUUUGCACAUCUCUAUGGUCUUCUGCCUUCUGUCACCAUCGAGGGAAUACAUGGAGGUUUGAUUGCUCUCUGUUGGGGGCUUACAGUUUCACUCAAGCAAACCUUGUUGGUAUGGAACACCCUAUACACUGCCAGUCUGAUAUUUGACCAGUUUUUUUCUAGGACUGCUCUGGUGCACUUUAGAGAACCUCCAAGACUGUUUGAUGCUGUCUAAUGAUGACGGUCCAGUGUGCUCUCUGAAUGUUUUGCUGAGUGGUAGAACUUGAGUUUUGAUAACAUUACCCUAUCCACUUUCCAAGAAUUCCACCGGCAGGGCCUGAACACUCGAGACUUGACAGAUUAUCCUGUGAUAUGUUACAAUUAGCUAUGACUCCAUAUUGUUCCAUGUUCCAUUUAUUCAGCUGGUGGGAGCAUGGAACUCCCUGAAGGUACAUUCCUUGUGAGCUUUCCUGGUAUCUUUUCAAAACAUAGAAUUAGGUUUUUGAACAUCACUAACAGCUUUCUGAAUUGCCGACUCCCUUGCCUUAUUGGAGCUGGAAUUUUAUGAAAGUCUCUACUGAAUAAGUUAGCUUGGCUUAGACGCUCAUAUGUACUCACGGUAGUGUCUGGGUGAUGGAUUGCCUUGUCACCGUCUAGCCAGCAAACCAAAUGGACCUGUGGGAAGGGAUAGCAUAUGAGUGUGACACGGGGAAUCACAGGUGUCAGAUUAUACAGUGAACAAGAGAGAGGAGAAAAUUUCCAUUAGGAAAUGCAGGCGCCUUCUAAACAGGCACUAGGUUACACUUCUAGAGAAAUAGCACUGGAAAUAAGAAGGUAGGUCCUGGAUUUUAGGAAGUCGUUAAAAAUAUUUUUGUUUUUAACUACACACAGUGAGGUUUCCUCAGCUCUGAGGGGGAAUUACAUAAGUUGUCCAAAACCAGUUUGUAUAGACCCAAAAAUGCUGGGCUUGUUAACCUAAUCUGAAUUUCAUAGAAUAAUGACUUAUAACAGGAAGGAAGUAAGAAGGAUGAAAGGAAGGAAGGAAGGAAGG